UAGUUCAAUAGAUCCUUUCUAUAUACUGUAGCCUCAAGGGAUAUGGCCCUUGAUCU
rfam:Mesocricetus auratus contig185482, whole genome shotgun sequence.